CCCGGGAAACUGGGGGUAAUACUCCAUAUUUCGUGUUGACUGGAAUGUUACGCGAAAGAAAGAUCCGUCGCUUCAGGAUGAGUCUGCGGCCGAUUAGGUAGUUGUCGGGGUAACGUCCCAACAAGCCAGUGAUCGGUACGGGUUGUGGGAGCAAGAGCCCGGAGAUGGAUUCUGAGACAUGAAUCCAGGCCCUACGGGGCGCAGCAGGCGCGAAAACUUUGCAAUGCGGGAAACCGUGACAAGGGAACUCCGAGUGCCCGUAAAUUCGGGCUGUCCGCCAGUUUAAACAACUGGUGAAGAAAGGGCCGGGCAAGACCGGUGCCAGCCGCCGCGGUAAUACCGGCGGCUCGAGUGGUGGCCACUAUUACUGGGCUUAAAGCGUUCGUAGCUGGCUUGUUAAGUCUCUGGGGAAAUCUUCCGGCUCAACCGGAAGGCGUCUCAGGGAUACUGGCAGGCUAGGGACCGGUAGAGGUGAGGGGUACUCCAGGGGUAGGAGUGAAAUCCUGUAAUCCUUGGGGGACCACCUGUGGCGAAGGCGCCUCACCAGAACGGCUCCGACAGUGAGGAACGAAAGCUGGGGGAGCAAACCGGAUUAGAUACCCGGGUAGUCCCAGCUGUAAACGAUGCGCGUUAGGUGUAUCGGUGACCACGAGUCACCGAGGUGCCGAAGAGAAAUCGUGAAACGUGCCGCCUGGG
rnacentral:rRNA from 1 species